GGGCAGGGAUCACCCAGGUGAGAAAUAUCAGCACUUAAACCAACAGCCUGUCAUUGGUUGUAGAGGCUGGGGUGCUCCUCCAAGGACUUUUCUGGAGUCUAAAUAGAAGCAUCCAAGACACACCGGAAGGGGGUUUCUUGAAAAUCAUGAUGCCAUAGGCCAAGCCCCCAUUUGUCUUCUUUUUUGAAAUGGGGUCCUGUUUGCUGCCGAGGCAACUCCUGGAUUCAAGUGAUCCUCCACCUCGACCUCCUGAGUGGCGGAGACGACGGGAAUGAGCCAAAACACCCAGCUGUCAAGCCCCUUCCUCAACCUUCAGGCUGGGAACGGAGCUCUCACCAGCCCCUUCCUGGGUUUUACCUGAAUCACAGUUGGUACCAGAAAUACCCCUAGAAAUUAACCUUCUUCAUGUUCCUCAUGCUUUGUGGGGUUUACACUAUCAUGAGUAUUACCUGAAUAGAAAAUCCAGACCCUGAAUUCCUGUCUUCCUGCUCCCCCCCAUUCAGGGGUUCUGGGGUGAGUCUGGGCAUGUUUAUUUUUAAACAGUUUUCUGGGUGAUCCUGACCAUGGGCCAUGUUUGGACUCUCACAGGUUCACUUACAAAAUCACGAGCCACUCAAGCAGGAACAAACUUUAUUUCUGAACUCCACCAGCACACUCCACAGACGCUCCCGGGGAAAUUGCCGAACCACACACGCGGCGUUCUCCCGGGCCACACUACACCAACAGCAAAUCCCUCCUCUGGAAUUCCCUCCUAUCGCACUUCCCCAACCAAUGGGAACUCUCCGGGAGUCCCCGGGAGAGCUCCAAAGUAGCAGGCCCAGGCGGACAGCAGGGGUCUAAUAUCCAAUUGAAUGCAGAUCUUAACAUAAUCACAUCAUCUCAAUGGCUUGCUGGCGUCACCUUUCAACCCAAAAUGCCAUGCAUCAUUCCUACUUGGCUAUGGCUCUCAGCAACUUACUACCUAAACACCUAAUGCAGUAGGUGGGUCUCCCAAAGUCACAGCAUUUACAGGCAAGGAAACAGAGGAAAUGGGCUUUCCAGAGACAGGAAGGAAAAGCACCUGACUCCGUGCCAUUCUGAGGAUUGAACCCAGGGUCUUGCAUCUGAGAUGAAUCCCCAGCAUUUAUAUAGAUAUAUAAUCUUCAGUUUCUUUUUUUUUUGGUUGUUGUUGUCAAUGGAUCUUUUAUUUAUUUAUAUGUGGUGCUGAGGCUCGAACCCAGGGCCUCACACAUGUCAGGCAAGUACUCUACAACCGAGCCAUGACUCCAGCCCUAAAUCCCCAGCUUUAAAAAAAAAAACACUUUUGAAACAGGGUCUUGCUAAGUUGCUGAGGCUGGCCUCAAAAGUGUGAUCCUCUUGCCUCAGCCUCCCGAGUCUCUAGGAUUAGACGCAUGCACACCACACCUGGCAGGAAUAGAGGAAUUGCUUUGCUGUAGCUGUGGCUUCCUGCAAAAGUGGCUGGGGCAGAGCUACCUGCAGCCCAGGUUGAAGGAAGGGCCCUUGCCUGCACUGGUACCUGCUGCAGGGUUACAGGAUAGGGAGGGGCAGGAUGACAAGGCACUGGCAGGAGUUAUUUUCAUGCUUUUGGUGAGAAUAGGGUCUUUCUGGGACCCUGCAGCCCAGAAGCCUCUGCCCGGACUAUGCUGCUAUUCUCUCUGCCGACAGAAAGCAGGGGAGGGAGGGUGACGCCCCCUCUGGUGUUUUGAUGAUUGCCCUGAGUUUCAGUGGUAGAAUCUGGCUCUGUGGGAUGUAUAACUAAAUGAAUAUUUGAAAUGGUAAUUAAUGCAGGAACUUUCAUUAACCACUUGUUAUAUGCUGGAACUGUAGCAUUCACUCUCAUGUUGAAAGGGGCACAGUAGGAUUUUGACAGGGCCUGUCACAUUCUGUGAACCAGAAUGUGUCCAAACCAGGGAAACCACCCUGAGAAAUGGUACCUGUUAGAGACCUGCCUAAGGCUUUAGAUGAGCCAGACUCACAGGGGAGCUUGCACGGUAGUCAUAGAACCCAUCAGCGUAACACUGGCCUGGCACUCACUAUACAGUAAGCACCUUCACCAGUUAAUUUUACCCUUCAUGAUGGGUAGUAUUAUCCACAUUCUGGAGUUCAAGAAACACUUCUGAGCUAGAUAAGGGUCAUAGAGUUGGAAAACAAUAUAGCCAACUCUUCAAUCCAGCUGGCACCAAAGCCUGCAGAGAGGAGGCUCUAUCCAGUGGCUCUAUGUGCCUUUCCCUAGGCAUCCUGGUUAUUCAAGGCAGGACUGCUUGUUGCAUGUGGCUUUAUAUUCCCAGCUGCACUAGCACAGUUCUAGCAAAGCUGACUGAAUUGAAACAGAAAAAUGAAGUCCCAAGGGACUUGUCUCCAUGC
rnacentral:lncRNA from 1 species